rnacentral:rRNA from 1 species
UACGUAGGAGACGAGCGUUGUCCGGAGUUACUGGGCGUAAAGGGUGCGCAGGUGGUUGUGCGCGUGGGGGGUGAAAUCGCCCGGCUUAACUGGGCGGGGGCCUUCCAGACGGCGUGACUUGAGGCGCGGAGGGGGACGUGGAAUUCCGGGUGGAGCGGUGAAAUGCGUAGAUAUCGGAAGGAACAUCAGUGGCGAAAGCGACUUCCUGGACCAAUACUGACGCUCAUGUGCGAAAGCGUGGGGAGCAAACAGG